CUCCCACAACACGCGGGAAUUAUGGGAGCUACAAUUCAAGAUGAGAUUUGGGUGGGGACACAGCCACACCAUAUCGGAGCUGUGCUCCCAAGCACACAAGGGCUGCCGAGUUCUCAGGCUGGCAGCUCCAGCUGAUGGCGUGUCACGGCGGGGGUGAGGGGUUGAGGGUCUGGGCUGCCCCCAGGCUCUGCUGUGGGAAGCAUCAGGCUGGACUUGGACACUCUGGGUGGGAAGUGUCUGGAACCUGGACGCUGGGUUAGAGAGGAGCCUCAGGAGGAAUCGCCAGGCUCCUCAGCUGUCGAGAAUGUCACCUGCUGCUGUAUCCCCAACAGCAAGGGAGGCACCUGUCACGUCGUGAGCAACUCUCGUGUAUUUGUUGCAUGAUCUAGUCCAAGAAUGGCCAAUGAGUUUCACCUGCCAGUUUUCACAGGCCUGUGUGCUGAGAGUGUUCCUUACCAUUUUCUCAUUAUUAAUCUGCUAAGGAGGAUUUUUAGACAUUAUGUUCCUAGUCAAGCCCUCACCUCUGCAAUGAAAUUAUAAUACCACCAUUGACCCAAAGCUGAAUAGUAAACACUAGAACUGAGGGAAAUCAUGGUGAGACUUAUUCUGAGCCAAGCUGCAGGACUUAAGCCCAGGAACACAGACUCUGUGUCCACUGAGAAUGUAUCUCAAAGCAGGCUCUGUGAGGCACCGUGCACUUAUAUUUUCUAACAGGUGGAUGUGUGUGGCCCAGAAGGUGGGAGAGGCAAGCGGUGAAACAGCCGUGACAUUCCUGAGAUUCUGAUGGGCGCUCGGUGGCACUGCCCAAACGAUAAGGUAAAUAUGCAGUUGAGUGGGGGGCUGGAGGGAGACUGGUUCCCUCCUGUCUUUAUUCUACAGGUUUAUGAUAAACAGGUUUAUGACCAGUACCUGCCAGUGAAAUAUUUAACAAACCCCAAUUACACAGGCAAGAGGCCAGCUUUAGGUUACAGGCCUUGGCUUUAUUAGCUCUGUGUCCUGAUGCAGCCGUUAGAGGCUACUCUUAAGAUCUUCUUUUGAAUGUUCCUUUUCUCACCGCGCACAGGAAUGAUAAACCUGUUCACGUGUUGACCCUCCCGAGAAUCGCAAAUGUUGCAAUGGCCAAGAAUUUUUGUCCACCCAUGAGCUAAUGUUGCCCCCUUGGGAGUGACUCUGCCAGACUGAGGAUGCCUGGCCUGGGUGUAGGGCUGCUUUGGGUGAGAGGACAGGAGUGGCCCGCAGCCCCGUGAGCAGCCACCCGCCGUGAGAAGCCCAGGUUCCCAGCAGCAGGGGGCCUUGUGUCUCUGCCCCCGCACGGGUGCAGACAGGGGCCAGGGUCCCCACCCGCUAGCCUGGUGCUCGCUGCACGGCAAGGAGGUUUCCCAGUGGGAACAGACUGAACCAGGCCUGGUCCUCCAAGGACACCGAGGUCAGGGACAGAACUGAACUGUGACCAGUCGAUGGAUCUGCCAUCGUUGAUCUCAGGCUGCCUUCUUAUCACAAGUUCAACGUUCUUCAGAGUGAGGAAGAUCAACUGGAGGAUUUCAACUGUGUUCUUUGUUUUUGUUUUUUUUUUCGUUCUCAAACCUAACUUCUGGGCCAGGGUUUCCAGCCCUCUCUGCCCAAGUGGGGCCGUUUCUGACGGCAGCAUCACUGGUGCACAGCAGUGGGCGACGGGGACCUGGGCUGCAUUGUGCCCCCACCGUGCAGGGUCACAGAGGUGCUGGGAGUUAGGGAGACAGCACAGACCCUCCUAUAGCAAUGACCUUGUUCGCAGUCCCAGGGCACGUCCCAGUCACAGGGCACGCAGUGAUUCGUUGUGUGCUCAGUGAAGGCAGAUCCGGGCUCCCAAAUAACCAAGGGGUAGGAGAGGAUGGCGGCAGCCAGGCCCAUGCUCCUGGGUGCCACCUCGGGACAUUCUGACUCUGGUUUUGGGAGGGACCCGAACAUAUGCAUUUGAAGCAACCUCCCCAGGUGAUUCUGAGGCCCGGGUAGUUUGCGGGAUCCCAGAUCAGCCAGCAGCACCCCAGGUUCAGCCAGGAUGCUGGGUUUCCGCUCGGCAGCUUCCUAACCUGCAAUAGGAGAGGUGCUUCCACCCUAAUCCGAUCUGCAGGAAGCCCUAAGAAACUGGUCUCAGCCCCAGGAUCCCAGGAGAGACGAAAGCGCCCUGGGGCUGCGUGGCUUGAGGACAGUGUCAGGACAAUCCGCAGAACAGGAAGUAGGGAACCCCAACCGAGGGCUGGUGCACUCUCUGGGUCAACAAGAGCCAGCUGUGGGGCCUGAAGGGGCAGAGGAAGAAGACACCUGGGGAGAGGGGCUGCCUGGGGAGCAUCUCUGCAGUGACCUUGCCCCAGGGCAGCACAGGGGCCAACCAGCCAGCUCCAGUGACUCCUCUAGAAGGAGUCUGAGCCAGCGAGCUCUCAUUACCUCCAUGCUCUGGUCUCUAGGGCUGCCUUUCAGGCCACACCUGAUUGCAACCAGGGCAAAGUGUGGGGUGGAGCCAUCCUGCAGGAGGGGACACCAUCAGUUCUGUGCAGGCAACCACUCUGGCUGACGAUCACUCUCUAACCUGUCUCCCUAGCCUGCGUUAUUGAAGUUACUGAAAUACAACCAUUUUGAAAUCAUCUGCUAAUCUUGUCUAUCGUUCCCUUCUUUGUGUUGUGAACCCGGACAAUUUGAGCCAGGCCUCAGUUAAUUUAAAAAGUUUAUUUUGCCAAGGUUGAGGACGCACACCCGUGACACAGCCUCAGGAGGUCCUGAUGACAGGUGCCCAAGGUGGUGAGAACACAGUUUGGUUUUAUACAUUCUAGGGAGACAUGAGACAUCAAUCACCAUACGUAAGAUGAACAUUGGCUCGAUCUGGAAAGGCGGGACAGCUCGAAGCAAAGGCAGGAAGACUCCAAGAGGACAGGGGGCUUCCAGCUCAUAGACCUUGAAGAAACAUGGCUUCUGAAACUUAUGACGGUGCCUCUUCCUGCAUCUGCUAGAUGCAGAUGGUGAAGCUGAUUGUCUACGGCCAGGAUUGACCUGGUCCUGCUGUGGACGUUUAAGAGAUUCCUAUUAUGAACAAAUGACUCAAACAUCCACCAGAAUUCAGUGCAGCCUGGGGAAGAAAGCCCAAAGGCAGGAGCAGAUGGAAGCCCUACCCAGCCUGCAGGGGCAGGAGGGACCAGCACAGGCCCCAGGAUACAUCGUGCCCCUGAGAGAAGCAAGGGCAUGUGGCUCUGUAGACCCAGGUGGCUCCCGGAGCCAGGGGCUGAGGGUGAGGGGCGCCCUGGGCCAGGGAGAGACAUUCAGAGCACAAAUGCAAUCUCGGGUGUGACCUUGAGGACACAGAAACCAGUUGUGGAGGACACUGAAGAUAAGGACCCAGAAGCCAGAGGCUUCAUACAUGAACCCUCCAUGGAUACUGAAGAGGAAUAUUCAGGCUUUCCCUGGAUGGGACCACGGGCAGCUCUGAGCAGGAGGAGGUGCAGGGUCUGUAAAGCACAUCACAGAAGGGAGGGUGCAGUGUCAGAGACGUCUGCCAUCGGGAACCAGAAAGCACACACACAUCACAUACAUGUGUUACACAUGCAUAAUCCCAUACACAGCACACACUAGACAUGCAUCACAUAU